rnacentral:rRNA from 1 species
GACGAACGCUGGCGGCGUGCUUAACACAUGCAAGUCGAACGGAAAGGCCCCUUUGGGGGUACUCGAGUGGCGAACGGGUGAGUAACACGUGAGUAACCUGCCCUUGACUUCGGGAUAACUUCAGGAAACUGGGACUAAUACCGGAUAGGAAUCCUUGCUGCAUGGUGGGGGUUGGAAAGCUUCGGCGGUUUUGGAUGGACUCGCGGCUUAUCAGCUUGUUGGUGGGGUAGUGGCUUACCAAGGCUUUGACGGGUAGCCGGCCUGAGAGGGCGACCGGCCACAUUGGGACUGAGAUACGGCCCAGACUCCGACGGGAGGCAGCAGGGGGGAAGAUUGCACAAGGGGCGGAAGCCUGAUGCAGCAACGCCGCGGGCGGGAUGACGGCCUUCGGGUUGUAAACCGCUUUCAGCAGGGGCGAAGCUUGUGGUGACGGUACCUGCAGAAGAAGCACCGGCUAACUACGUG